rnacentral:rRNA from 1 species
AGCGAACGCUGGCGGCAGGCUUAACACAUGCAAGUCGAACGCAUCACUUCGGUGGUGUGUGGCAGACGGGUGAGUAACACGUGGGAACGUACCCUUCGAUCUGGGAUAACUUCGGGAAACUGGAGCUAAUACCGGAUACGCCCUUUUGGGGAAAGGUUUACCGUCGAAGGAUCGGCCCGCGUCUGAUUAGCUAGUUGGUGGGGUAACGGCCUACCAAGGCGACGAUCAGUAGCUGGUCUGAGAGGAUGAUCAGCCACACUGGGACUGAGACACGGCCCAGACUCCUACGGGAGGCAGCAGUGGGGAAUAUUGGACAAUGGGCGCAAGCCUGAUCCAGCCAUGCCGCGUGAGUGAUGAAGGCCUUAGGGUUGUAAAGCUCUUCUGUCCGGGACGAUAAUGACGGUACCGGAAGAAUAAGCCCCGGCUAACUUCGUG